CAGUAGCCGCGGUAAUACGAAGGGGGCUAGCGUUGCUCGGAAUCACUGGGCGUAAAGGGUGCGUAGGCGGGUCUUUAAGUCAGGGGUGAAAUCCUGGAGCUCAACUCCAGAACUGCCUUUGAUACUGAAGAUCUUGAGUUCGGGAGAGGUGAGUGGAACUGCGAGUGUAGAGGUGAAAUUCGUAGAUAUUCGCAAGAACACCAGUGGCGAAGGCGGCUCACUGGCCCGAUACUGACGCUGAGGCACGAAAGCGUGGGGAGCAAACAGGAUUAGAGACCCCUGUAGUCCCUGUCUCUUAUAC
rnacentral:rRNA from 1 species